rnacentral:sRNA from 1 species
GCCUUUCGAAGCUCCCUUCUCCUCCCGGGCGAGCUUCGACGCCGGCCGGAUCCCCUCCUCCUCCCGGGGCCGGCCUCAACUAGAAGCCCUUCGGCGAAUGGCGCCGAAGGGCUUUUUUU